rnacentral:lncRNA from 1 species
UGCUUUGCUGCGUCCGAGUUUUCCUGAAUCUUAGCAAACUGUGCGGCUCGAUUGCGUCCUGCCACGAGUCUGAACGAGCGUUUGAACGAUAGUUGUCGAAAAUCCUCGCCGGUGGAAUAGGUACAUGUCCAAGAAAACAAAAUACACCCACAAAAGCAAUGGGGGGAAUAAAAAGAAAAGUGCAAGGGUUUCCAGGAAAAAUUUUCGGCGGAAACAAAAAUCAAAGUCACGGAAAUUUAUAGUUUUAAGUAACACACGCAGCAAAUAUGGAUAACAAAUAAGAGAAACAGCAACAAAAAUGAAAAUUACUAUACAAGUAAAUUAAAAACAGAGGAAAUGAAACACGCGUGAAAAGGGAAACAGAGAAAGUGAAAAUGACAAGAAAACAAUAUGAGGAAAAAUUUCCGGCGGAAACAAAAAUCAAAGUCACGGAAAUUUAUAGUUUUAAGAAACACACGCAGCAAAUAUGGAUAACAAAUAAGAGAAAACAACAACAAAAAUGAAAAUUACUAUACAAGUAAAUUAAAAACAGAGGAAAUGAAACACGCGUGAAAAGGGAAACAUAGAAAGUGAAAAUGACAAGAAACAAUAUGAGAAACAAUGAAAGUGAGCAUGUAAAUAUUCCGGAAGUACCGGGUUGGUCGAAAAUGAGUGGGGAAAAAACUGUCCAAAAGAAGCCCGCCGAAAAAAUGCCUGGAACAGUGUCACGCGUGCGGCGCGUGGUCGUCGUCGGCGGCGCGUGAGCGGUCGUCGGCGGCGCGUGCGUCGGUUUCCGGCGAUGAAACUCGCAAGGGUUGUGCGCCUGACGGUGUAUGUCUCGGUGGUGUAGGAGGGUGUCGAAGAAAAAGCACUUCCACCGGGUUGGUCGAAAAUGAGUGGGGAAAAAACUGUCCAAAAGAAGCCCGCCGAAAAACUGCCCGGAAUAGUGUCACGCGCGCGGCGCGUGGUCGUCGUCGGCGGCGCGUGAGCAGUCGUCGGCGGCGCGUGCGUCGGUUUCCGGCGACGAAACUCGCAAGGGUUGUGCGCCUGACGGUGUAUGUCUCGGUGGUGUAGGAGGUGUCGAAGAAAGACCACCGUGAGAGACCACUGUUGACGAUUCCGAGGAGAGAGAGAGGGGUACUUACCUGUGGCUACCGGCGGUUCGUCGGGGAUGCCAGUGGGGUUUUUCUGCCGUCAGAGGGGGUGGUCUCCGGGGUAGAGAGGUCGCCGGGGGGGUGGCGAGGGGAGCGGUGAGCUGGGGGG